UACGAAGGGGGCUAGCGUUGCUCGGAAUCACUGGGCGUAAAGCGCACGUAGGCGGGUUGCUAAGUCGGGGGUGAAAUCCUGGAGCUCAACUCCAGAACUGCCUUCGAUACUGGCGACCUAGAGUCCGGGAGAGGUGAGUGGAACUCCGAGUGUAGAGGUGAAAUUCGUAGAUAUUCGGAAGAACACCAGUGGCGAAGGCGGCUCACUGGACCGGUAUUGACGCUGAGGUGCGAAAGCGUGGGGAGCAAACAGG
rnacentral:rRNA from 1 species